rnacentral:pre_miRNA from 1 species
AGGGGGAACAACCAUAGUGGCAGCAGCCAGCUCUGGAGCCCUGUAGUCAGCUCCCACAGUAACUACAGAGCUCUCCAUCUGCAGGGCCCGGAUGCUCCAGGGACGG